AAUGCCAAUCUCCUCCACUUUGCUCCAAGUUUCAGUGGCCCCUCCACAAUAAAAGAUAGCUGUUUGUGGAGGCUGCCUUGUUCCAUACCAUUAACUCAGAACAAAACAUAUUUUUAGUGGGACAGCAGUGUUUACUUGUAAGAACUGAUGAAUUGCUCGGCACCAUUUAUCACUUGCAGACAAAGACGUUCAGCCACGAUUUUGGACAUAAAUCAAGGUACAUGCUCCUCAAUAAGAAAAAAAGACUGCUAAGUCCCCAAAACCACGGAGAUUGAGGUCAGACUGGCCAUAGCAACCACCAACAGGACUUGGGCCUCCAGAAGGACCUAGCAACCGAUAAAUGAGUUCAGAUCUCUUUUCAUCUCCACUGGUGUGAAAGCCAAAAUUAAAAAGAUUAGAUCACCCUGCACCCAUUACAAAAGGUGCCACAAUGAAAAAGUCAUUUCCAGCCUUUGAAUCACAUCAAAUAAAUAACAUUCAUCCCUGCUAUAAUGAACAACUUUCAAAGUAAAUUGAAUCUCCAUAGUACUGCUUUCCCUGGCUGAACAGUAUUUACAUAACAAUAUAUCACAGGAAGCUCCGAAUGGAUCUUGUAAAUGGGGACCUGGGGAUAAAAACCAUCUUUAGCCCCGAUUACUGCAUAUUCAGACUGCUUUUCGGUCCCCCUCAUUUAAACAAUGUGUUGUAUCAGGAACAUAAACAAUGCUUUUAAAUUGUGGGAAAUGAAAGUUU
rnacentral:lncRNA from 1 species